GACGAACGCUGGCGGCGUGCUUAACACAUGCAAGUCGAACGGUGAAGGUGGAGCUUGCUCCGCCGGAUCAGUGGCGAACGGGUGAGUAACACGUGGGCAACCUGCCCCAGACUUCGGGAUAACUCCUCGAAAGAGGCGCUAAUACCGGAUACGAGUUCUGCAGGCAUCUGCGGAAUUGGAAAGUUUUUCGGUCUGGGAUGGGCCCGCGGCCUAUCAGCUUGUUGGUGAGGUAACGGCUCACCAAGGCGACGACGGGUAGCCGGCCUGAGAGGGCGACCGGCCGCACUGGGACUGAGACACGGCCCAGACUCCUACGGGAGGCAGCAGCGGGGAAUAUUGCGCAAUGGGCGAAAGCCUGACGCAGCAACGCCGCGUGCGGGAUGAAGGCCUUCGGGCUGUAAACCGCUUUCAGCAGGGAAGAAGCGAAAGUGACGGUACCUGCAGAAGAAGCACCGGCUAACUACGUGCCAGCCGCCGCCGUAA
rnacentral:rRNA from 1 species